UACGUAGGAUGCAAGCGUUGUCCGGAUUUACUGGGCGUAAAGCGUGCGCAGGCGGCUUUGCAAGACAGAUGUGAAAUCCCCGGGCUUAACCUGGGAACUGCAUUUGUGACUGCAUGGCUGGAGUGCGGCAGAGGGGGAUGGAAUUCCGCGUGUAGCAGUGAAAUGCGUAGAUAUGCGGAGGAACACCGAUGGCGAAGGCAAUCCCCUGGGCCUGCACUGACGCUCAUGCACGAAAGCGUGGGGAGCAAACAGG
rnacentral:rRNA from 1 species